AACGAACGCUGGCGGCAUGCCUAACACAUGCCAGUCGAACGAGACCUUCGGGUCUAGUGACGCACGGGUGCGUAACGCGUGGGAACCUGCCUUUAGGUUCGGAAUAACUCAGAGAAAUUUGAGCUAAUACCGGAUGAUGUCUUCGGACCAAAGAUUUAUCGCCUUUAGAUGGGCCCGCGUUGGAUUAGCUAGUUGGUGGGGUAAAGGCCUACCAAGGCGACGAUCCAUAGCUGGUCUGAGAGGAUGAUCAGCCACACUGGGACUGAGACACGGCCCAGACUCCUACGGGAGGCAGCAGUGGGGAAUAUUGGACAAUGGGCGAAAGCCUGAUCCAGCAAUGCCGCGUGAGUGAUGAAGGCCUUAGGGUUGUAAAGCUCUUUUACCCGAGAUGAUAAUGACAGUAUCGGGAGAAUAAGCUCCGGCUAACUCCGUG
rnacentral:rRNA from 1 species